ACCCAGACUCCUACGGGAGGCAGCAGUGGGGAAUAUUGCACAAUGGGGGGAACCCUGAUGCAGCGACGCCGCGUGGGUGAAGGAGCACCUCGGUGCGUAAAGCCCUAUCGGCAGGGAAGAAACAGACGGUACCUGACUAAGAAGCCCCGGCUAACUACGUGCCAGCAGCCGCGGUAAUACGUAGGGGGCAAGCGUUAUCCGGAUUCACUGGGUGUAAAGGGAGCGUAGACGGCGACGCAAGUCUGGAGUGAAAGCCCGGGGCCCAACCCCGGGACUGCUUUGGAAACUGUGUAACUGGAGUACAGGAGGGGCAGGCGGAAUUCCUGGUGUAGCGGUGAAAUGCGUAGAUAUCAGGAGGAACACCGGCGGCGAAGGCGGCCCGCUGGACUGAAACUGACGUUGAGGCUCGAAAGCGUGGGGAGCAAACAGGAUUAGAUACCCGAGUA
rnacentral:rRNA from 1 species